rnacentral:pre_miRNA from 2 species
AUGUAGGGCAAUCUGUCUUUAAGUAGGGACAAAUUAAAACAAAAAAAGAAACCUAGAUAGUUUUCCCUUCAAGUCAAGCGUCUUGU